rnacentral:rRNA from 1 species
UACGGAGGGUGCAAGCAUUGAUCGGAAUUACUGGGCGUAAAGGGCGCGUAGGCGGCCGAGAAAGUCAGAUGUGAAAUUUCGGGGCUCAACCCCGAAGCUGCAUUUGAAACUUCUUGGCUAGAGGAUGAUUAGGGAAAACGGAAUUCCACGUGUAGCGGUGAAAUGCGUAGAUAUGUGGAAGAACACCAGUGGUGAAGACGGUUUUCUGGGUCAAACCUGACGCUGAGGCGCGAAAGCUAGGGGAGCAAACAGG